CCUACGGGAGGCAGCAGUGGGGAAUAUUGCACAAUGGGGGAAACCCUGAUGCAGCGACGCCGCGUGAGUGAAGAAGUAUUUCGGUAUGUAAAGUUCUAUUAGUAGGGAAGAAAAUGACGGUAUCUGACUAAGAAGCCCCGGCUAACUACGUGCCAGCAGCCGCGGUAAUACGUAGGGGGCAAGCGUUACCCGGAUUUACUGGGUGUAAAGGGCGCGUAGACGGGAGCGCAAGUCAGAAGUGAAAUCCUAUGGCUUAACCAUGGAACUGCAUUUGAAACUGUUCAGCUAGAGUGUAGGAGAGGUAAGUGGAAUUCCUGGUGUAGCGGUAAAAUGCGUAGAUAUUAGGAGGAACA
rnacentral:rRNA from 1 species